CUUGGCUCACUGCAACCUCUGCCUUCCAGGUUUAAGUGAUUAUCUUGCCUCAGCCCCCUGGGUAGCUGAGAUUACAGGUGCAUGCCACCACACCUGGCUAAUUUUUGUACUUUUAGUAGAGACAGGGUUUCACCACAUUGGUCAGGCUGGUCUCGAACUCCAGAAAAUUGUGAUCCACCUGCCUUGGCCUCCCAAAGUACUGGGAUUAGAGGCGUGAGCCACCACGCCUGGCCCUCCUCUUAGUACUUUUAUAGGGUUUUUGUUUUUUGUUUUUGUAGAAUGUUUACAUCUUUGGUCAUCUAGAAUUAAUUUUGUCUAAGGAAAAAAGUAUUUAAUUGAAAAUGGGACUGGCCAGGCACGGUGGCUCACGCCUAUAAUCCCAGAUCUUUGGAAGUCUGAAAUGGGCAGAUCACUUGAGUCCACGGGUUUGAGACUGGCCUGAGCAACAUGGCAAGACCCAAUCUCUACAAAACAUACAAAAAAAUUAGCUGGGUAUGGUGGAGUGUGCCUGUAGUCCCAGCUACUUGGGAGGAUGGAGUGGGAGGAUUGAUCACUUGAGCCUGGGAGGUGAAGGUUGCAGUGAGCUGAGAUCAUGCCACUGUACUCCAGCCUGGGCAACAGACCAGACCCUGUCUCAAAAAGAAAAACAAACAAGAAUCAGCCUCUGUAGUACUGAAGUAUUCUGAAAUAUUUAUUUCAUUCAGGCCACAAAAGGACCUAACGAACCAUCCCAGCCCAAUAUUUGCAUGUACCUCUUAGACAACUAGACUUUUGUACGCCAUAUUCAUAGCCUCUUUCUGAAGAAUUCUGAAUAAACUCUGGCACCUUCUGAUCCUUUUGAUUUCCAUGUUCUUUGUUCUGAUCAUCCUCCAUCUGGCACAUAUUCUCCUAAGAGGGCAGAAUUGCUUUGCACUUAAUAAAUUACAUCACAUUCAGGUAUGCUUCCUCGAAAUGCUACCGAAGUCACCUUGACUGGAAUUGAGGACGUUCUCCCAAAGCUCAGUCAUCUGUUUACUGAUGAUCUCUGGUUUAUUCCAUAGAGAGUUAGCUGCGUUCAUUUGUAGUGGUCACUCUACCUCCUUCCUUGCUAAUAGCACUGAUUUUGUUCAGGCAUGAAGUAGCAGUGAAGGCAAGGAGAGCUGGUCUUAAGGGAUUAACUGUGUUUAAGUCAAUCGUGGCAAUUCCACUCCCUCUUAUCACUGACUGGCUUAUUGGUGUUCAUAUAGCCCAAACUUCUGGCCAAUGAGAUGUAAAGAGAAGUCUGUUGAGGGGACAUCUGGGAAAGCUUUCUCUCCCUGAUGAGAUGAAGUAGUAAGGCAGGAAAAUCCAGUCUGGAGGCAGGGAACAUAAGGCGGAUUCACACCAGCUAUAACAGAAAAUAUCCUCUCCACAGGGAAUACGCUGAGUAUAUAACUUUGUAACUUUACUUCACCCUCUUCAUUUACAUAUGAAGAGGGUAUUCAACUCACAAGAACUCUGUAACAGGGCCAUUGAGCUCCUAUGCUCAGUCCUGCUCCCACACUGUGGAGUGUACUUUCAUUUUCAAAAAAUCCCUUCAUUCCUGCCUUGCGUUGUGCGUUCUGUUCAAUUCUUUGUUCAAACUGUCAAGACCCUCCGCCACUAACAGUAACGAGAAAAAACUCCUUCUCUUCAGAUCAUGGUUGUGAGAGAGAUGCCUGGAGCAGUCAUAUUACAACCCGGAGCGGUAAUCAUCGAACAUCUACUAUCUACCAGAAUACACACUAGGGACUUCGAGGGUCUACAAAGACGAAGCGGACCAAAGAUUCUGCCCUCAAGUGGCUUACAAUGCAGAAGUCUCCCAGUUUAACAGUCACGUACACUCUGCACCCACCAGCAGUGUAUGAAGAUGUCUCCCUGCCUCCAUCCUGGCUCACAGAUUAAUAUUCUCUCCAAUGUCUGCCAACUAGACAG